rnacentral:lncRNA from 1 species
CAACAACAUGACUUACCUCUGAUGAGUUUGGACAAACAUGGAAUCUUCGAAGUGGGUUCGCCUCGGUCCACGAAGUUUGUAAGCGAGCUAACUUCCCACAAAAGCAACGAUGUGCCGCCACAUCCAACUCUUCCCAUCCGUCAAUUAUUUCAGGCUUCAUCUUCAAUUUUUGUGGAACCCAACCUCUGAUUUCUUCUAUGGGAGGAGGAAGCCAAUUUGGGGUUUUUUGGUUCGCCAGCAGCUCAGAUCAAUUCAAUCGUUUUAGCUAUAUCAGAUGUUAGAGGUGGGGUCCACAAGCACACAUCACAACCUCAGAUUGGUGGGAAAAAUCCCAGCUCAGUUGAAUUGACCAAUAUACCCCUACCACGUCAUCAUUUUAGCGGAACUUGGAAUGACGUUGACAGAAAGUGGUUAAGUGACACACGAAACCUUGGUGAAUGAGGC